CUAGGAAUCUUCCGCAAUGGGCGAAAGCCCGACGGAGCGACGCCGCGUGGGGGAUGAAGGCCUUCGGGUUGUAAACCUCGAUCGGCAGGGGACGAAGAUCUGACGGUACCCUGCACGAAGCCCCGGCUAACUACGUGCCAGCAGCCGCGGUGAUACGUAGGGGGCAAGCGUUAUCCGGAUUUACUGGGCGUAAAGCGCGCUAAGGCGGCUCGCCAAGUCGGGGGUGAAAUUUCAGGGCUCAACCCUGAAACUGCCUCCGAUACUGGCGGGCUCGAGUGUGAGAGAGGAAGGUGGAAUUCCCGGUGUAGUAGUGAAAUGCGUAGAUAUCGGGAGGAACACCAGUGGCGAAGGCGGCCUUCUGGCUCACAACUGACGCUGUAGCGCGAAAGCGUGGGGAGCGAACCG
rnacentral:rRNA from 1 species